rnacentral:misc_RNA from 1 species
GAGGCCGAGGCCGAGGCUGAGGUUGUACCGCUUCCACGCGUGCCUGACGACCUCGGCGCUGUCGAUGUUGGGCGGCACGACGACGGCGGUGACGGUGUCGCUGAACCACUCCUCCUUCUGGCAGCAGUUGCUGAGCCCCCACGCCUCGACGGCGAGCCUGGUGGCUGUCCCAAGGCGGUUGUGCCUCCUCACGACGUUGUCCAGCCCUUCCUCGAAGAUGAGGUCGAGCGCGGUGCGGAGGCCGUAGAGGAGCUGGAUGGAGGGCGUGUAGGGCCAGUACGUGCCCAUGUCGUAGAACCUGAG